UACGUAGGAUCCGAGCGUUGUCCGGAUUUAUUGGGUUUAAAGGGUGCGCAGGCGGCCUGAUAAGUCAGUGGUGAAAGCCGACAGCUUAACUGUCGAAAUGCCAUUGAUACUGUUGGGCUUGAGUAUAGUUGAGGUUGGCGGAAUGUAACAUGUAGCGGUGAAAUGCUUAGAUAUGUUACAGAACACCGAUUGCGAAGGCAGCUGACUAAGCUAUUACUGACGCUCAUGCACGAAAGCGUGGGGAUCAAACAGG
rnacentral:rRNA from 1 species